rnacentral:rRNA from 1 species
UACGUAGGGUCCGAGCGUUGUCCGGAAUUAUUGGGCGUAAAGGGCUCGUAGGCGGUUGGUCACGUCGGGAGUGAAAACUCAGGGCUCAACCCUGAGCGUGCUUCCGAUACGGGCCGACUAGAGGUAUGCAGGGGAGAACGGAAUUCCUGGUGUAGCGGUGGAAUGCGCAGAUAUCAGGAGGAACACCGGUGGCGAAGGCGGUUCUCUGGGCAUUACCUGACGCUGAGGAGCGAAAGCAUGGGGAGCGAACAGGAUUAGAUACCCCAGUAGUCC